rnacentral:lncRNA from 1 species
CCUCCCGGUGACACCUGCCUCCAUGGGGCGGGGCUAUGGAGCCGGUGGGUGUGGCUUCUACCCGGGGGGCGGGGCUUAGAGAACAGCUGGGGCGUGGUUGGGUGAUGCUCUAUGAGGGGGCGUGGCUUAUUUGGAGGGGGCGGGGCCUAGAGGCCAGGCCCCCAGUGCUGCGGGGGUGGGGGGGGGUAUGUGUUAUCCAUGCCCCGCCCCUUCUGGGGUGUGUGGGCGGGGCCUGAGGAGCCACGUGGCCCCUUCCCGCCCCCCCGCAGGCGGCCAUGGAGUCCCCAGGGCGUCACCCGGGCGGCGACGAGGAGGAGGAGGAGGAGGAGGAGGAAGAAGAGGAGGAGGCCGAGGCCGUGGUGUCCCCGCGUCGCCCCGAGGAGGUGACGGUGGCCACGGCGUCCCCGUGUCACCCCGAGGAGGAGGAGGAGGUCACAUCUCACCUGGAGGAGAAGGAGGCCAUGAGGUCCCCGUGUCACCCCGAGGAGAAGGUGGAGGCCGUGGCGUCCCCGCGUCACUCCAAGGAGGAGGCCACCGUGUCUCCGUGUCACCCUGAGGAGGAGGAGGCCACGUCUCACCUUGAGGAGAAGGAGGAGGCCACGUCUCACCUUGAGGAGAAGGUAGAGGCCAUGGUGUCCCCAUGUCACCCUGAGGAGAAGGUGGAGGCCACGUCUCACCCUGAGGAGAAGGAGGAGGCCACAUCUCACCUCGAGGAGAAGGAGGAGGCCACGUCUCACCUUGAGGAGAAGGUGGAGGCCACGUCUCACCGUGAGGAGAAGGUGGAGGCCAUGUCUCACCCCGAGGAGAAGGUGGAGGCCACGUCUCACCCCGAGGAGAAGGUGGAGGCCGCGGCGUCCCCGCGCCGCCCCGAGGAGGAGGAUGAUGAUGAUGAGGAGGAGGCGGUGGCGGUGGCCGGGUGGCCGCGGGGCGGUGGGGCG